rnacentral:lncRNA from 1 species
CCCGUGAUGAUCCAUUGAUUGGGAGCAUUUAGGAAUUAACCACCAAUGAUACAUGUCUCAAAUUCUCAACUCUUGAGAAUAUAUGUCAUCAUCUUAUUAAUUCCUUGAACGAUUCAUGGACACAUACACAACAUGAAUGAAAAUAAUAAUCCAAAUUUAUUCAUAAUAUUUUAAAAUCAAAUACAAAUUUAUGUCCUAGAAAGAGUAUAUGUGUCAGCCUAGUUGGCUUCUAGAGCAUACAUCUAACAGGAUCAACAUAAAUAAACAGAAAUUGCCUGCGCAAGAAGUCUUUUCACACACGAAUCAAGAGACCCCAACAUUUUUAAUUCCUUUCUUUUUCUACAUUUACCGCUUUCCU